rnacentral:misc_RNA from 1 species
GAUGAAGAACGCAGCGAAAUGCGAUAAGUAAUGCGAAUUGCAGAAUUUCCGUGAGUCAUCGAAUCUUUGAACGCACAUUGCGCCCGCCAGUAUUCUGGCGGGCAUGCCUGUUCGAGCGUCAUUUCAACCCUCAAGCCCAGCUUGGUGUUGGGGAUCGGCACAGGCGCCCUCGGGCGCCCGCCGUCCCCUAAAUCUAGUGGCGGUCCCGCUGCAGCCUCCUCUGCGUAGUAGUUUUCUCCUCGCAAGGGCAGCUCGGUGGCGACCUCGCCGUAAAACCCCCAACUUCUGAAAGGUUGACCUCGAAUCAGGUAGGAAUACCCGCUGAACUUAAGCAUAUCAAUAAGCGGAGGA